rnacentral:tRNA from 1 species
AGGAGGAGAACACAAAUUAAUUAGUGGUCUGAUUGAUAUUCAGAAUUAGGGUAAUUACCCCUCUUCCU